AGGGGCAGCACGUCUUCGGAUGGUGGCGACCGGCGCACGGGUGCGUAACGCGUAUAGAAUCUACCUUUUACAGGGGGAUAGCCUUUAGAAAUGAAGAUUAAUAUCCCAUAGUAUUGCGAAAUGGCAUCAUUUUGUAAUUAAAGAUUUAUCGGUAAAAGAUGACUAUGCGUCCUAUUAGCUAGAUGGUAAGGUAAUGGCUUACCAUGGCAAUGAUAGGUAGGGGUCCUGAGAGGGAGAUCCCCCACACUGGUACUGAGACACGGACCAGACUCC
rnacentral:rRNA from 1 species